UAUUUUAACUUACAGUAGGUUGUCUGUAUAUUGCUAGAAGUAUAUAGCACAUGUUAAACUUUUUAAUUCUGGAAAUGGUGAACAAUAAAUUGUACAGUUCUGUAGUGAAAUGAAUGUGAGAGAAACAGAAACCCCAGAAAAAAUGACUCAUCAAUCCCAGCAGAAGAUCCAGAAAUAAUCCAGUCAUAGAGGCAGUGUGCUAUUUGCUGUAUGUGGACAGAGAUUCUGAACAUCCUCAACCCUAUAUAGAGACUUCACAUUUGGAGAUCCGGAGUAGAGUGGAGUUCAAACUUUGCCCAAUUAUGAAGUCAGCUGUGCACAUCCAGAAGGACAGCAGGGUCUUGCUGUCUAGUUCAGGCUCGUCUUAUGCUCACUAUGUUGCUCAGGCUGGCCUCAAGCAUAUGAUGAAUUUCCUGACUCAGCCUAUUGAGUGCCAGGAUUACAGGGGAAUACUUCACAAAACAUCAAAAUGCUGGCAGUGACAAGUGAAAAUGGGAUGGCAUAACAUCAGGAUGGACAGAGCCAAAAGCAUUGGAGACAACUCAGUCUAACUUCCUGGGAAAACAGCAUUCUCAUCACUCUUCACCUCUCUCCAUUUGCACCAUUUGGAGGUCAUCAGCUUAUACUUUGUGGGCUGUGGAGCAGAGGAACUGUUGGUUACUAUAGUAUUAAGUGGUUCACCAGUUUGGGAAGCCAUUUAUCCUCUCUUAAGGCCU